rnacentral:rRNA from 1 species
UACGUAGGCAGCAAGCGUUGUUCGGAGUUACUGGGCGUAAAGGGUGUGUAGGCGGUUGGAUAAGUGUGGUGUGAAAUCUCCUGGCUUAACUGGGAGGGUGCGCUACAAACUGUCUGACUAGAGUGUGGGAUGGGUAAGUGGAAUUCCUGGUGUAGCGGUGAAAUGCGUAGAUAUCAGGAGGAACACCGGUGGUGUAGACGGCUUUCUGGACCGUAACUGACGCUGAAACACGAAAGCGUGGGUAGCAAACAGG